CAACUCCCACUUGUUGGUCUUUGCUGUCUUUUGCUCCCUCUUCCCCUUUUCCCAACUGACCACUUACCCCCUUUUCGCUUUUACUUACUCCCAUGACUAGUGCUACUAGUAGUAGUAUAGAAUUUGUCAUUCUUGAUAUAAACUCCAGUCUUUCUUUCUCUCUCUUCGCGCAAUCCAGCAUCUUUCUUGCAUUUUUGUUCCCCCCUUUUUCUUGAUUUGGUCUUGUUACUAAGUUAUUAACAGAAAAACCUUUUUUUCCCGAUUGUGGAAUGUUUUUUUCUGUCUGUAGACAGAAUAUUUAUCUCGUGACAUAAUACAUGUGUGCAUAUAUGAGAAAUCAACCGGGUUGGAUUCUUAAAUUGUGUUCAGGAUUGAGUCUUUGUUCAUCCAACAAGGAGAUAAUUCUAUUAUCUUGAAUUUGCCAGCUGGGUUCUUGGAUGUUGACCUGAACUUUUUAAAGGAGCUUAAACUCUGUACUACUUGUUGUUUAUUGUGAUUUUUGGUAUUGAGAUUCAUGCUUGGAGUGAGACAAUGGAGAGGUUUAUGGCCUACUUUCAUUUUUCUUUAACACUUUGUUCAGAGUUUUAGUUAAGAUAAGAUGAAAAAUCUUCUCAAGAAACUCCAUUUAAUGCCAAAUGAAUCAGUGGAUUCAGAAGGGUCAACGUCAUCAGCAAAGACCAAGAGAUUGAGUGAUGUUUCAUCCCCUGAUAAUAACCCCUUUUCAGCUAUUUCAGGAUGGUUAAAUUCAGUUACUACUAGGCAUAAUAGCCCUAGUCCUCAAUCAUCUUCAAAUAUGAGUAGAGGGAAUAAUAAUAGAAUGGAGCCUUGUGAUUCUGCUAGUAGUAGUGGAUUAGAUGCUGCUUUAGAUACUGUAAGGCGCGAUUCGGAGUCCAGCAAUUCGAGGGAACCUGAUAUAGAAGAAGAAUAUCAAAUACAAAUGGCUCUGGAGUUGAGUGCAAGGGAAGAUCCUGAGGCAGUUCAGAUUGAAGCUGUUAAACAGAUAAGUUUAGGUUCUUGUGCCCCAGAGAAUACACCAGCUGAAAUUGUUGCUUAUAGAUAUUGGAAUUACAAUGCUCUAAGCUUUGACGACGAGAUCCUGGAUGGUUUUUAUGAUCUGUAUGGGAUCAUGACAGAGUCCAAUUCCUCAAAAAUGCCCUCCCUUGUCAAUCUACAAAGAACACCAGUAUCAGACCAGAUCACUUGGGAAGCCAUCCUUGUUAAUAGAGCUGCUGACUCUAAGCUGUUGAAGCUAGAACAAAAAGCUCUAGAGAUGUCUGUCAAGGUCAGGUCAGAAUCCAUAGAUUUUACAGGUGGCAAUUUGGUUCAGACGCUUGCUAUGCUAGUUUCUGAACACAUGGGCGGUCGAGUUGGAGAUCCUGACAGCAUGUUAGUAGCAUGGAGAAGUCUUAGUUAUAAUCUAAAGGCCACUUUUGGAAGCAUGGUUUUGCCUCUGGGUUCUUUGACCAUUGGUCUGGCUCGUCAUCGUGCUUUGUUAUUCAAGGUUUUGGCUGAUAGUGUGGGGCUCCCUUGUCGAUUAGUAAAAGGGCAAGAAUACACAGGGUCAGAUGAAGUUGCAAUGAAUUAUGUAAAGAUUGAAGAUGGAAGGGAAUAUAUUGUUGAUUUGAUGGCAGACCCUGGGACACUUAUUCCCUCUGAUACAUCUGGAACACAAGUAGACUGUGAGGAAUCUAUCCUCUCCAUCAGUCCAUCUUCCAAAGAUGUUGAUUCUCAUAUGGGUGGUUCUUCUAGUAGUGGGGUUGCUUGUUCGUCAGAAGAUCAUUCCGAGUAUGGAACGGCAGAGAGGAGAUCCAGGUUCAGGGAAAGCAGCACAGGAAAUGAGUCUCCAUCUUCUAGUAAUAAUUCUGAAAAGCAGAUUAAAGCUGAGAAAGGAUGCAAUAACUCCUCUAAUGAAUUUACAAAGCUUUGGACCGUGAAGAAGGAGCAAAGACAGGAAACUUCACCCGGGACUGGGCAUGCAAGAUCUUCUUAUACACAUGCAAGGUCACCUUCCUGGACUGAAGGUGUUAGCUCCCCGGCCGUACGGCGAAUGAAAGUUACGGAUGUUUCACAGUACAUGAUUGAUGCUGCUAAAGAGAAUCCACAGCUAGCUCAAAAGCUUCACGAUGUUUUACUUGAAAGUGGGGUUGUUGCACCACCAAAUCUGUUCACUGAAGUCUAUACAGAGGAGUUGGAUGUGUCCCCUGUGGAGGGAAAAUCUGGGCCAGAGGAUAUGGAAAGUAAGGGGAGCGAUGAGAUUGAGAAAAACAAGAGUCAAGCUGAUCUAGAUCGUAAUAGUUUCUUGCCCCCUUUGCCUUAUCAUGUUAUGUCCAAGGGCAAUCCCCGUGGGCCAUUUGAUAGUGGGCAGCAAGUUUCUCCACACUCUGAACUGGCUGCAGUGAAAUUCACAAAAAACAUGCCUGUUGCUGCUGCUGCAGCGGUAGCAGCAGCCGUGGUUGCCUCUUCAAUGGUAGUUGCUGCAGCAAAGACCACGUAUGGUUCAAAAGCUGAUCUCCCUGUUGCAGCUGCUGUGACAGCCACAGCUGCAGCAGUGGUAGCAACAACUGCAGCUGUCACUAAGCAAUAUGAAAACUUGGAGCCGUCUUCUGAUUCACCAGAUAGUCCUGCUUUUUUCCUUAAUCUAAUCGACUCUGGAAGAGUUGAUGGAGAUGCAGAUGGUGCUGUGUAUGAGCAGCGGGGUAGUGGUGAUCAAGUGCAUGAGGCAUUAGGGGUGAAUUCUGAGAAUGAAAGAAUAUCAGAUAGGUCAACCGGUAAUGAUAGUGUUAAAUCUGAUGUGACACUUGAUGAUGUCUCAGAUUGUGAGAUUCCAUUUGAGGAUAUCACCUUGGGUGAGCGUAUCGGACUUGGAUCUUAUGGAGAGGUCUAUCAUGGAGAAUGGCACGGAACUGAAGUAGCUGUGAAGAAAUUCCUAGACCAAGAUAUAACUGGUGAAUCCCUUGAAGAAUUUAAGAGUGAGGUGUGGAUCAUGAAAAGACUCCGGCAUCCUAAUGUAGUCCUGUUCAUGGGAGCUGUUACUCGUCCUCCAAACCUUUCAAUUAUUACCGAGUUUCUUCAUAGAGGUAGUUUGUACAGAUUAAUUCAUCGGCCCAACAAUCAGUUGGAUGAACGGAGAAGAUUGAGGAUGGCUCUUGAUACUGCUCGAGGCAUGAACUAUCUACACAAUUGCACUCCUAUGGUAGUUCAUCGUGAUUUAAAGUCUCCGAAUCUCCUUGUGGAUAAGAACUGGGUGGUGAAGGUAUGUGAUUUUGGGUUAUCAAGAAUGAAGCACAGCACCUUUCUUUCUUCAAGGUCAACUGCUGGGACGCCCUUUUGUAGAAGAUAGCAUGCUGUUGGUCUUAAAACACUUCAGGCUUUUGGAGAUGUUUUCAUUGCCAAGUUUCUACUUCAAAAAGGCCGAGUGGAUGGCCCCAGAAGUGCUGAGAAAUGAGCCUUCAAAUGAAAAAUGUGAUGUAUAUAGCUACGGUGUCAUACUAUGGGAGCUCUGUACUCUGCAGCAGCCAUGGGGAGGAAUGAACCCCAUGCAAGUUGUUGGUGCAGUUGGAUUUCAGCAUCGCCGUCUUGACAUACCAGAUGACAUGGAUCCUGCUAUUGCUGACAUCAUCAGAAAAUGCUGGCAAACAGAUCCAAAGUUACGGCCUUCAUUUGGUGAGAUUAUGGCUGCUUUGAAACCACUGCAAAAGCCUAUAAACAGUUCACAAGUACCAAAACCACUGGCGAACAGAGGUCAAGAAAAGGGCCGGUCAUAAACAAACUUGGGUGAUCCAGCAGCACAACAGGUUUAGGACAGAAGGAAAACGGAAUUUUUAUCUUUUAUUGGAAAUGAAGACAUGUUCAUAUUUGCUCAACCAGAAAUUGAAGGAAGCCAAAGGAUCUGUCAACAGACAUAUACUUCAUAUUGAGUCAAUUGUGAUUCUUUUUUCCUGCUUUUGUUUUCUGGCAGUUGUCAACCCACAGUCCUCAAAGUUGUGUAUUUUCUCUCAUGUAUAUUCAUUUUAGGGAUCUCGUUGUAAUUACAGAGUGAUUGAGAAUAUUUUCCAAAUUCUUCAUACUGAAGCCGAAAGAAAAGCAAUGAAAUUGAGAUGCUUGAUUAUCCAGUGGCAGAAGCAGAGAUGUUACUAUGUU